rnacentral:lncRNA from 1 species
UAAAAUUAGAAUGAUCUUAUCAAAGGGAACAUGUAUACUAAGUUUCAAGUUGAUUGGACUUCUACUUUAUCAAAAACUACCUUGACCAAAAACUUUAACCUGAAAUUUGCACUAUCAUUUUCUAUGUUCAGUGAACCGUAAAAUUGGGGUCAAAACUAUAAUUUGGCAUUUAAAUUAGAAAGAUCAUAUCAUAGGGCACAUGUAUACUAAGUUUCAAGUUGAUUGGACUUCAACUUCAUCAAAAACUACCUUGACCAAAAACUUUAACCUGAAAUUUGCACUAUCAUUUUCUAUGUUCAGUGAACCGUAAAAUUGGGGUCAAAAACUAUAAUUUGGCAUUUAAAUUAGAAAGAUCAUAUCAUAGGACACAUGUAUACUAAGUUUCAAGUUGAUUGGACUUCAACUUCAUCAAAAACUACCUUGACCAAAAACUUUAACCUGAAGCGGGACAGACGGACGAACGAAGGGACGAACGAACGAACAGACAGACAGACGGACGGACGACUACGCACAGACCAGAAAACAUAAUGCCCCUCUUCUAUCGUAGGUGGGGCAUAAAAAGAAAAAGAAAAUAUGUUUAGCAAAAUGCUAAUUUGUUGUUACUAUUGUUCAAUCCUUUUCCCUCUCUUCAAUGAGGUAUAAUACAUAAGAAUGUCUUCU